UACGGAGGGGACUAGCGUUGUUCGGAAUCACUGGGCUUAAAGGGCGCGUAGGCGGCUCAUCAAGUCCGGGGUGAAAGCCCCCAGCUCAACUGGGGAAGUGCCUCGGAUACUGGUGAGCUCGAGGGAGGUAGGGGCGGAUGGAACUUCCGGUGGAGCGGUGAAAUGCGUUGAUAUCGGAAGGAACGCCGGUGGCGAAAGCGACGUGCUGGACCUCUUCUGACGCUGAGGCGCGAAAGCUAGGGGAGCAAACGGG
rnacentral:rRNA from 1 species